AGUGAACGCUGGCGGUAGGCCUAACACAUGCAAGUCGAACGGCAGCACAGUAAGAGCUUGCUCUUACGGGUGGCGAGUGGCGGACGGGUGAGGAAUACAUCGGAAUCUACUUUUUCGUGGGGGAUAACGUAGGGAAACUUACGCUAAUACCGCAUACGACCUACGGGUGAAAGCAGGGGAUCUUCGGACCUUGCGCGAUUGAAUGAGCCGAUGUCGGAUUAGCUAGUUGGCGGGGUAAAGGCCCACCAAGGCGACGAUCCGUAGCUGGUCUGAGAGGAUGAUCAGCCACACUGGAACUGAGACACGGUCCAGACUCCUACGGGAGGCAGCAGUGGGGAAUAUUGGACAAUGGGCGCAAGCCUGAUCCAGCUAUACCGCGUGGGUGAAGAAGGCCUUCGGGUUGGAAAGCCCUUUUGUUGGGAAAGAAAAGCAGCAGGUUAAUACCCCGCUGUUCUGACGGUACCCAAAGAAUAAGCACCGGCUAACUUCG
rnacentral:rRNA from 1 species